CACGGGGGGAGCAAGCGUUGUUCGGAAUCACUGGGCGUAAAGGGCGUGUAGGCGGUCAAGUAAGUGGAAUGUGAAACGCCUCGGCUUACCCGAGGGCCUGCAUCCCAAACUGCUUGGCUUGAGUAUGGGAGAGGAUGAGGGAAUUCCUGGUGUAGCGGUGAAAUGCGCAGAUAUCAGGAAGAACACCCGUGGCGAAAGCGGCUCUCUGGAACGGUACUGACGCUGAGACGCGAAAGCGUGGGGAGCGAACAGG
rnacentral:rRNA from 1 species